GCCGAGGUGGCGGAGCCUGGACUAACGCGCACGCCUGGAAAGCGUGUUCCUUCACGGGAGCUCGAGUUCAAAUCUCGACCUCGGCG
rnacentral:tRNA from 1 species